UUCAAUUCCACAGAAACUAAAAUCUUAAAAUCGGAAUGCGAUACAAGGAAGCGGGAACUUUACAAAACAAUUGAAAUAAUCAAUAAUGUAAACAGCAUUAAUUUUAAAACAUACAAUAAGCAUUUAAGCAUUAUUUACCAUUUCAUUCUGACUUAAUUAGAUUUCAUUUAUAUAUUUAUAAAAAAAAAUAAAGUAAGAUAAGUGUACUUUUGUUGGUUGUCUCCAGGCAGAAUCAAACAUUCACCUUUGCAAAUUGUUCAGUCGACAUGACCUCUCAGCAUGGAGAGACCAGAAAAUUUUAUUUUUAUAUUUCAAAUGCGACAAAAUUUUAGCGUGUGACCAAAAAAAAAUUAUUUGUGUAGAUACAUGUGUUUUGGAUUGUUUUUGUGCUGACGUGGAAUUGUGUCUGACUUAAUUCAUGUAAGUGAAAUCUCCGCUCUUGAAUGAUUUUUAACCUUGGUAGAUGUAUUAGGAGUUUGUAAAUAAUUCUCGCAACGUCUUCAAGAAGAAUAGGUCUGUUAGAGUCUUUACAGUAUCUGUAACCCUGAGGAAGAGAGCAGAGCACUGCCGAAACGUUGGAAAAUAAAGAAGAGCAUCUAACUUAAACACAAAUUUCCCAAUUAGGACGACAUCCCCCAGAAUUCAUAAACUAACAAUAUAAACAAACAUCGUCUAAGAACGUUUCAUGGCGCAAAUGAGCUUCAAGCUUCUCACAAGGGAAGUUAUUUUGAAAAUUCAUAGAAGCGCUUUUACAAUACGAGGAUAUCCGAACAAUAAAUGUUUGAAAAGCUCCCGCAGUUACAUUGAAAACGUUUGAAAGUACGCACCAAACAAGAGGGAUCAGUUGGGAGUUUUCUGAUAAAUGAAGCAAAGUUUUCCCUAUUUGACGGUAUCCACAUUAUUUGAUCGUGCAGUUGAAGAAUAUUUCGCUUUAGAAGCACAUAAAAUAAAUUGUUAUAUUGUUGUGCGAUUGAUUCAUUCUCACCCACCACCCGUACCCGUAGAUGUAGCUAUGAAGUAUUGUAGUAAGUAUGCAUUGGAUCGCAUUCGGCUGUUCUGGAACAGAAACUAAUUUUGUUUUGUUUCAGCCCGUAUACACUUAUCGCAAAUUUUUAAAAAUGUCCAUUUUGUGAACAACACUUGUCCUCAAUGUGGGAAACAGUUCAAAAGAAAAGACCACGUCCAAAGACACUAUCUGGAGUUGCAUAUGGCCAUCAAGAAUUUUGCUCAUUUCACCUGCUCCAGGUGCAAGAAAGUGUUCAAGCGCAAGUACAUGAUGGAACACCAUGAGAAGAAAUGUUUUGAUGAAAUAAAUCUGCGUUGUUUCAAGUGUUCGCAAGUGUUCGACUCGACGGAGAAAUGGAAACUGCACCUGCGACGCGCUCAUAACUAUAACAUGGUUCCCGUCUAGACAAGCAAAUGUUGUACAACUGUGCCUUAAUGCAACUGUAACGAGACUGUAUAGAAUAAUAUGCUAGAUAUAAGGGGGGCUGUGGGAAAAGUUAAUGAUUUCAGAAGUGUAUUAGUAGAACAAAGUGGCACAUCAGUGUUAUUCAAAGUAUAACGCCGGAAAAUUGUCUCUAAAAUAAUCCUUUUUUGCAUAAGUAGGUGCCAACGGGGGGUACAUUUCAAAAUCUUUUUAUAACUUACAGGAUUAUAACCUGAACUCCAUUGAACUUUUGGCCAAUCGAUCCUUUCCAUCGAUCUCCGAAAUCAUCCACUUCCGUCGGUAGUUUAGUUCUUUAGUUGUUUAGUUUCUGCUAACCAUCAUAAUUUAGACUGAUUGAAAGUAUUUACUUAUAUUAGUUCUUUGACUUGAAUAAACAUUAUUUUACGCACCACGGACUUACUCUUGCACAUAACCUUGGGUGGCUUUAAGAACACUCCAAAGAGGCGUCGCUUUUUUUAUUAAUGCAACGUUUUCCAGCAGCGCUAUCCCGACUGCAACGCCACACGUGUUAUUUAUGCCAGAAAAGCUACAAAUAUAGCCGGCAUUUGACCGCCCAUCUGAAGUACGAAUGCGGAAGGGUGCCCGGUUUUACGUGCAAUCAAUGCGGCAAGAAGUUCCAUUACAACUACACGUUAAAUGCCCAUAGAAGGAGGGUGCAUCUAGCGGAGCGCAAAAGGAGCCUCUGAAAACGGGUUUAAGUCCUUAGGUCUAGUUUAUGCUCAAUUUGGGUUCACUUCUGUUUAAGUUUGUUACCAAUGUUUUCACUAAAUAGACUAAAUACAUCAUAUCCACCCCAGGUUUGAUGUGAAAAGCCUAAAAAUUCAUUGUUUUUUUGGUCAGGUUUUACUAUGGCGUUUGUACUGUUGAGAAAUGAGAAAUAUAAAUCGGUUUCUGGGAAAUUAUCUGGACCAUCGACGUACUAACCACCAAUCCUUUUAGUUAACGUUUGCUAAUUCUAUCUAAUUUUUCAGUAAAAUACAAGUGCCAAUCCUGCCUGAAAAAUUACAAAACAUCACAAACGUUGGCACGACAUCAGAAAUAUGAAUGUGGCAGAACGAAAAUGUUCGCUUGCCCAUUUGUAGGGUGUUUCUUCCGAAGCAAGCGCAAAGACAAUCUGAAGUUACAUGCAAGAAAACAUCGGGUUAAAUAAACUUCUUAUUUGACGUUUUGCUGUUUUUCUUUCACUAGUAGAAUGUAGUUUUCUGAGUUUGUCUUAGUAGGGAAACUAGUUGGCGCCUUCGGCUCCCUCGCUCUAUUUACUAACGAUUUUUGUUUGUUUUAGCUGAAAUAUGCAUUGGCAAAGCGCGAUUUAAGAUGAAUUUAUGCCAGUACCAGUUUUUCGCAUGAAACUUGCCCUUAGUUUCCUGCAACUUUCAUAUAACUACUUUAAUAUGAUGUAUUCAAUAUACCAAGUUUACCAACUAGACCAAGAUAAUUAUAAUUUUUUAUAUAAUUUUUUAUUAAUACUCUUAACCUUAAUGUACAUACAUACAAACGACGUUUUCGGAUUUUCAUCGACUACCUACAAUCAAUACAUUUUUAGGCAAUCGAUGCUUUAUAACGGCAGAUGAAGAGCUGGCACGUAAAACCCUCGAGUUGAUCAACAGCGGCAUUUCCAUCCGAAAGGCCGCUUCGAUUUUGCAGAUUUCCAAAAGCUCAGUGCAUACCAUUGUGAAAAAGUUCCGCGAAGGAGCUGGACUGCACUUUUUAAACGCUCUUGGAAAAACGCGACGAAAGUUCCAAAAUAGCGCUGACGAUUCUUCGCUCGAUCUGGACCCGUUUUUUGAGGCCGCAAGAACGCGAGCUAAUCAGGAGAUGAACUGGCCGGAUGACGAUGAGGUGAUUUGCCAGAAGCUAUAUUUUAAUUCGGACAGUGGGCAAUCAAAGAAUCUCUAGAAUUUAAUUAAUAAAAAAUUUGAACAGAUUUCAGAAACGCUCAAAACAUUGUGAAUCAAAAAAGCAAUUUUCUACACAUGUUUUUGUUAUCAUUAUUAUCAAUAACGAUUGUUAGAAUACAUAUUUCUUAAUUUUUAUAGCAUUGUUAGUUUGACUUUUUUCAAUUACCCCCUCAUCGAUUUUAGUUUAGGAUGUUUCGUUCGUGUAAAGUGAAUUACAUGCGUAGAGCAAGGAAGGUGCAUGCAUCAGAAAGAGAGAGAGUAUGAGCAAUACCCUCUUCUCUCUCUUUUCAGCACAAGCAUUGAUGAUCUUCCGCUUGUGAGGAUAUUGACGCCCCCUACAACAGCUUGGGUAUUGCCUGGAUCAAGCCAAGCAAAUUUAAAUAAUACCAAAGUUACCCAAACUAACUUAACCUUUUAUAGCUUGAUGACUAUGAUGAAAACUGACUACUUUUUGUCGACUGUUGAUCGUAAGCGAAAUCUGUUCAGCAAAUCAACCAAAUAUCUGCCUUAAAUACUUGUAAACGGUAUAAAGAGUUAUUAUCCGUAGAGCGAAAUUUCAUUCUCUAAAGUGGUCGAAAAUUUAACCAGUGUUUCUUUUAUUSUAGUGAGUAUGCACGUAUCAGUUGUGGUCCUCAAAUACAUUGUUUUUGUGGGUUGUAUCAUUCUUUUGAGAUAAGUUUUAUACAUAACAAAGUUUAUUGCAUGUUUAAAGAUAUAAUUACUUAUUAAAUAUGUGGCAACUCCCAAGUUUUCAAUAGAUUUAUUACAAAUUUCAAUUUAACUUUGAAAAUGUAAAAAAACCUACAGUUUAGGAGUAAUUUGGCAAUUGAACUCAUAGCUAAUUUUUGUAGCAGAAAAAGAAAACGACCGGCCCCUAUCACUUCAAGAAAAAAUAAAAAAAGUGAAUAUACGAAGAGUUAAUGUUAAUYAUGCGGCGAGAAAGGCAGAUGUAGGAAAACAUUUGCCUACCAAAGGCACAAGUAGAAGAUGCGCUCAUUGCAGCAGUUCAAAACGUUGUAAGAGGACACAUAUUGUAUGCCGAAAGUGCAAUGUGGCCUUGUGCUUGAAUUGUUUUGCACCUUUUCAUGAACUAUAAUGACUACCAAAAAAAAAUAUUGAACAAAAAAGUGUUUACAAUAUAUGGUUGAUAAUUUAACCAGUGAUCAUAUGCUGAUAUUACUGACACUUAACAGUCACUGGUUGAAAAAUCAACCAUCCCCACUCCCCAUAGUAUAAAAGUAAAACAAAUAUCAGAUAAGAAAAAGUACUUCAUUUCAUCUAGUUUUCAUGUUUAUAAAGUAAAUUUGCAAAUAUCAGGAAAAAAGUACUGCCCUAUAAAGGGUUAAAUUAACUCAAGCCAACCCAAACUGACGGUAACUAACUCAAUGUUUAACGUGACUUACAUGCGUGGAACAGGGAAGGCACUCGAAUGCUUGCAUCAGAACGAGAGGUGGACAUUAUCCUCCUUCUCUUUCUAGUACGAAGCAUUCAUGCUCCUCCCUUGUUCCACCCACAUAUUCAAUGGUGCUUGCGAUACUAUUGACGCGAAAUUAAGCCAGUUACUCCGGAGUAUUUUAGAAAAGUGUAAGUUUGGCCCUGGACUAGUUUCCCGUUUUAUUCACUGCACAUUUUUUUAGCAAGGGAAUUCCGGUGCCAGAUGUGCUUCAAAGGCUACUCAGUGAAAAGGUCUCUCUGGCGGCAUCAAAAGUACGAAUGCUGCAGAAUAUCGAAGCCUUUUUCCUGCGCCUUUCCCAGAUGCUCUUAUAAAACCACUCGGAAGUACAUUUUGGCUAACCAUUUGAGACUCAAGCACCACAUCAUGGAUAGUGGCUAGUUCAAUACAAAGCAGGGACAACCAGUGGUGCCAAAUCCAGGCCAUUCCAGUCAACUGCGCUAGUUGAUUCUGUGAUUUUUUUUUAAAUUUUUGUGAUAUUUAAUUUAUUGUGUUUUGUGACCGGAAACAAACUGUAGGUAUUUUCAGUCUUUUGUGAUGUUCAGAUAUUUCCAACAGCAACUUGCAUCUAGUCAGUGUAUCUAGUAAUAUAAAAAAAUUUAACUCCAUGCAGAGGAUUUUCCGGAGUCACGUCAAUGAAUUGUUUUUUCCUUGAAAGUAUGUUUGCUAUCGAGAAAGUGAUGGCAGAAUUCGUUCAGUUCCAGAUGCCGAAAGGCACCAGUGUUCCACUUGCAAGAAAACAUACAAGUUUAAAAGUGGCUUAAGUCAGCAUGCUCGCUACGAAUGUGGAAAAACGCCCCAAUUUGCCUGCCCUGUUUGCAACUAUCGCUCAUGUUUUCGUCAGAAUAUCAACGCUCACUUAAAGAGGCGACAUUCGAAAAAUGCGUUAUAAAUUCCCAGAAGAAUUCGAUUUAUUCGCCAAGUUUUAUCGUUUUAGUAGCUUUUUAGCCAUGAUGUUGAUGAUGAUAGAUUCGAUAAUGGUGAAGAACCAGAGAUUUUCCAUAUGUUUGCAAAUGCGGCAACAAGUACAAAUACAUCAAAGGCCUGAAGGAACAUCAAAAGUGGUCUUGCGGUAGAAAAAGAACAUGCCCAUGCCCUUAUUGUUCAUACGUGGCUCGAUGGAAAUCCAACCUAACAAGUCAUAUCAAGCGGAAACAUCCGGACGUGGUUUUUUAGUCAUGGUUGAUUAAAGUCGGUUUCAUUCGU